GUCGAGCGAAUCUUUGGGAGCUUGCUCCCAUUGGUUAGCGGCGGACGGGUGAGUAACACGUGGGCAACCUGCCUGUAAGACUGGGAUAACUUCGGGAAACCGGAGCUAAUACCGGAUAAUUCAUUUCCUCUCAUGAGGAAAUGCUGAAAGACGGUUUCGGCUGUCACUUACAGAUGGGCCCGCGGCGCAUUAGCUAGUUGGUGAGGUAACGGCUCACCAAGGCAACGAUGCGUAGCCGACCUGAGAGGGUGAUCGGCCACACUGGGACUGAGACACGGCCCAGACUCCUACGGGAGGCAGCAGUAGGGAAUCUUCCACAAUGGACGAAAGUCUGAUGGAGCAACGCCGCGUGAGCGAUGAAGGCCUUCGGGUCGUAAAGCUCUGUUGUUAGGGAAGAACAAGUACCGGAGUAACUGCCGGUACCUUGACGGUACCUAACCAGAAAGCCACGGCUAACUACGUGCCAGCAGCCGCGGUAAUACGUAGGUGGCAAGCGUUGUCCGGAAUUAUUGGGCGUAAAGCGCGCGCAGGCGGUCCUUUAAGUCUGAUGUGAAAGCCCACGGCUCAACCGUGGAGGGUCAUUGGAAACUGGGGGACUUGAGUGC
rnacentral:rRNA from 1 species